UUGAUGCCGGUGGUUGUUCCCGACGGACCAAGUGAGGUGGUGCCACCACCAAACACCGUCGGAGACCCGGUGGUUGUCCCCGUGGUGGGUGUUGUGGAAGGAAUCCCGGUGCUUGUCCCUGUUGUCGGUGUCCCCGUUGUUGGUGUGGUAGGAGUCCCUGUUGUCGGUGUCCCCGUUGUUGGUGUGGUAGGAGUCCCUGUGGUUGGUGUUGAGGUAGGCGUCCCUGUGGUCGGUGUCGUCGGAGUCCCUGUGGAUGGUGUUGUGCUUGUACCACUGUAAAAUUAGCACAACAUAUACAAUGUUAAAGAUGCAUAAUUUUUUUUGUGAAAUACCAGACAAAAGAACAUAAAAGAACAAAAUAUUACUUAAUGAAUGAUAAAUUGAAAACAUGAAAAAUCCCAAAGUAAGUUUCAUCGGAGUGUAAGAUUCUAGUGAACAUACCUGG
rnacentral:lncRNA from 1 species